GCGAAGAGGGAAGAGCUCAAAUUUGUAAUCUGGCGCUUUCAGCGUCCGAGUUGUAAUCUCUAGAAAUGUUUUCCGCGUUGCACCGCACACAAGUCUGUUGGAAUACAGCGGCACAGUGGUGAGACCCCCGUUCAUGGUGCGGAUGCGCAAUGCUUUGUGAUACAUUUUCGAAGAGUCGAGUUGUUUGGGAAUGCAGCUCAAAUUGGGUGGUAAAUUCCAUCUAAAGCUAAAUAUUGGCGAGAGACCGAUAGCGAACAAGUACCGUGAGGGAAAGAUGAAAAGCACUUUGGAAAGAGAGUUAACAGUACGUGAAAUUGUUGGAAGGGAAACGCUUGAAGUCAGACUUGCUGUUCGGAGUUCAGCCGCAAGGUGUACUCUCCGAGUUGCAGGCCAGCAUCAGUUUUUCGGGGUGGAAAAUCACGGUUUGAAGGUAGCAGUUUCGGCUGUGUUAUAGCUUUCCGUUGGAUACAUCCUGGGGGACUGAGGAACGCAGUGUGCUUUUAGCAGGGGUUUCGACCUCUUCACACUUAGGAU
rnacentral:rRNA from 1 species